AUCUAUUUGAUGAGUUCUAAAUAGGACGAAACACGCGUCCUGGAC
rnacentral:hammerhead_ribozyme from 1 species